AUCAACGCUGGCGGCGUGCCUAACACAUGCAAGUCGAACGAGAAAGUCCGCAAGGAUGAGUACAGUGGCGACCGGGUGAGUAACACGUGACUAACCUACCUCUUAGUGGGGAAUAACUCCGGGAAACCGGAGCUAUACCGCAUAACAUCGCAAGAUCAAAGCCGAAAGGCGCUGGGAGAGGGGGUCGCGGCUGAUUAGCUAGUUGGUAGGGUAACGGCCUACCAAGGCGAAGAUCGGUAUCCGGCCUGAGAGGGCGCACGGACACACUGGAACUGAAACACGGUCCAGACUCCUACGGGAGGCAGCAGUGGGGAAUUUUGCGCAAUGGGGGAAACCCUGACGCAGCAACGCCGCGUGGAGGAUGAAGUCCCUUGGGAUGUAAACUCCUUUCGACCCGGACGAUACUGACGGUACGGGUGGAAGAAGCCCCGGCUAACUUCCUGUGCCAGCAGCCGCGGUAAUACAGAGGGUGCGAGCGUUGCUCGGAAUUACUGGGCGUAAAGGGCGCGUAGGCGGACGCGUAAGUCAGAGGUGAAAUCUCCAUGGCUCAACCUGGGAGAUUGCAGGCUUGAAUACUGGCCGUGUCUGGAGUUUCGGGAGAGGUGAGUGGAAUUCCCGAGUGUAGAGGUUGAAAUUGCGUAGAUAUUCGGGCGGAACACCAGUGGCUGUAGGCGACUCACUGGCCCGAUAACUGACGCUGAGGCACGAAAGCGUGGGUAGCAAACAGGAUUAGAUACCCUGGUAGUCCACGCCCUAAACGAUGAUAUUGCUAGUUGUCGGGCAGUUCAUUCAUGUCCGUGCCGGAGCUAACGCAGUUAACUACUGCCGCCUGGGGAGUACAGUCGCAAGGAUGAAAACUCAAAGGAAUUGACGGGGGCCCGCACAAGCGGUGGAGCAUGUGGUUUCAAUUCGAAGCAACGCGCAGAACCUUACCCUGGUUGACAUCCUGCGCUGGCCAAGAGGAUGAACACUUUACCCUUCGGGCAAGGGGUACAGUCGAGGUGCUGCAUGGCUGUCGUCAGCUCGGGUCGUGAGAUGUUGGGUUAAGUCCCGCAACGAGCGCAACCCUCGUCAUGUGUUGCCAAGCGCAUUAGUUGGGCACUCGAAUGGAGACCGCCAGGGGUAAGCCGGAGGAAGGUGGGGAUGACGUCAAGUCCUCAUGGCCCUUUACGGGUGGCUACACACGUGCUACAAUGGCGACUACAGAGGGUUGGCAACCCUGCGAAGGUGAGCUAAUCCCUAAAAGUCGUCUCAGUUCGGAUCGCACUCUGCAACUCGAGUGCGUGAAGUCGGAAUCGCUAGUAAUCGCGGAUCAGCAUGCCGCGGUGAAUACGUUCCCGGGCCUUGUACACACCGCCCGUCACACCAUGGGAGUUGGUUUUACCCGAAGGCGAUGCGCUAAACCGCAAGGAGGCAGUCGACCACGGUAGGGUCAGCGACUGGGGGG
rnacentral:rRNA from 1 species